UACAGGGGGGGCAAGCGUUGUUCGGAAUUACUGGGCGUAAAGGGCUCGUAGGUGGCCAACUAAGUCAGACGUGAAAUCCCUCAGCUUAACUGGGGAACUGCGUCUGAUACUGGAUGGCUUGAGUUUGGGAGAGGGAUGCGGAAUUCCAGGUGUAGCGGUGAAAUGCGUAGAUAUCUGGAGGAACACCGGUGGCGAAGGCGGCAUCCUGGACCAACGCUGACACUGAUGAGCGAAAGCCAGGGGAGCAAACGGG
rnacentral:rRNA from 1 species